rnacentral:rRNA from 1 species
GACGAACGCUGGCGGCGUGCCUAACACAUGCAAGUCGAACGGGGUCCAUCUGGUGGCAACACCAGUGAAGACCUAGUGGCGAACGGGUGAGUAACACGUGAGGAACCUGCCCCGAAGACCGGGAUAACUCUCCGAAAGGAGUGCUAAUACCGGAUACCCCCACCGAGCCGCAUGGUUUGGUGAGGAAAUGGAUUCCGCUUCGGGAGGGCCUCGCGGCCUAUCAGCUAGUUGGUGGGGUAACGGCCCACCAAGGCAUCGACGGGUAGCUGGUCUGAGAGGACGAUCAGCCACACUGGGACUGAGACACGGCCCAGACUCCUACGGGAGGCAGCAGUGGGGAAUAUUGCACAAUGGGCGCAAGCCUGAUGCAGCGACGCCGCGU